rnacentral:rRNA from 1 species
UACGGAAGGCAGCAGUGGGGAAUAUUGCACAAUGGGCGCAAGCCUGAUGCAGCCAUGCCGCGUGUAUGAAGAAGGCCUUCGGGUUGUAAAGUACUUUCAGUCGUGAGGAAGGUGUUAAGGUUAAUAACCUUAGCAAUUGACGUUAGCGACAGAAGAAGCACCGGCUAACUCCGUGCCAGCAGCCGCGGUAAUACGGAGGGUGCGAGCGUUAAUCGGAAUUACUGGGCGUAAAGGGCACGCAGGCGGUUAAUUAAGUUGGAUGUGAAAUCCCCGGGCUUAACCUGGGAAUGGCAUUCAAGACUGGUUAGCUAGAGUCUUGUAGAGGGGGUAGAAUUCCAUGUGUAGCGGUGAAAUGCGUAGAGAUGUGGAGGAAUACCGGUGGCGAAGGCGGCCCCUGGACAAAGGCUGACGCUCAUGUGCGAAAGCGUGGGGAGCAAACGAGGAUUAGAUA